ensembl:lncRNA
CCUGACUAAAGUAACGGGAAAUUGCUGAUCACUGGAUGAACGCGCACUGGAACCUUUUAAUUUAAUUGCUAAAUGGAUUAAUGAACCGUAAUUCUUAUUUUUGCUUUGCUGUCUCUUUGAAAGUCAAAGAAGAUGGACUGAACCCAAGCACUCUAUUGAUCUGUGUUUUAUUUGGCAGUGCAUUGUAAUGAUCUUCUAAUGUCUCUGAAGGAUGUUCACCAAGAGUCACAAUGAGCUGUCAAACCAUUCAUCUGUAAUGCAUUGUGCCUUUUAAAUAGAUUGAACCAGACUGACUAGAAAUAAUAGAGUAUAAUAGAAUAUUUAACUUGUAGAGCAAAAUAUUUUCUGAGCUUAGCUACGACCGUCUGUCAGUGUCAGGUCACCGCUUUGUUUCGUGUCCAUCGACGUCAUUUUCAAAGGAUACGAUUACGAAGUAGGCCUACGACAAGUUUCCGUUUUGUAGAACAUGAGAAAGUCUUUUUUCAGACGAGCAAAGUUAUUGCCGUGGAUAAGCAACGUGACUCUGUACGGGUGCUUGUUCGCCGGUGGGGACUUCGUGCAUCAGUGUAUGAUCGCGCGGAGAGAUGAAAUGGACUGGAGGCACACGAGAAACGUGGCGAUCGUGGCGCUGAGCUUUCAAGGUAACUUCAAUUACUUCUGGUUGCGAGCUUUAGAGCAUCGUUUCCCGGGAAGAUCGGCCGGUAUGAUUUUACGCAAACUGCUUUUGGACCAAACUUUUGCUUCACCUUUGGCGACCAGUGUCUUCUACACAGGUGAUGUACUGUUUUAAUGUCAGUCACAGUCACAUAUUUCGCACCUGUCACUCAAUUCAUUGUCUUCACAGGUGUGAGUUUCUUGGAAGGCAAAGAGGACAUAUUUGCAGACUGGCGAGAAAAGUUUUUAAAUACAUACAAGACUGGACUAAUGUACUGGCCAUUCAUGCAGUUUCUGAAUUUUGUUCUGUUGCCUCUCUACCUGAGGACGGCAUUCAUGGGCUGUUCAGCGUUCCUGUGGGCCACGUUCUUAUGUUUCUCGCGACAGAGUGGGGAUGGCACAGCAGGAGUAGCCUUAGCUUGGAUCAUGGCCCCCAAAAAACGGAUUCUACCUCGCAGUACAGACGAGGAGAAAUAGAGACACUGUGGCACAUAUGAACAACAUUGUGCCUUUGCGGAUGGACAGUUCAGUCCCACUAUGGCACUGUAUCGAGGCUGUGAUGUGUUUAUAAAUCUUGUUGCUUACUAUCUUAUUAAGAGUGAUAUUAAAUUAACUUGUACGUGUACACCUUUCAUUUAUUUUUAUGUUGAACAACCCAAUUUUACAUUAUAUAGUUUAAUGUUUUAUGUGAUUCAAUUUAUUUAUUUAUUACUGAAAGGAAAUGCAUUGUGUGUUUAUGAAUUUCACUGGGUGGGUUGGAAGGGCCUUGCGACAUAUGUGCCCCAGGUUAGGUUGCCAUUCAUCCCAAAUAGCUUAUGAAUUUAUUGAAAUAUUUUAAAAAUGGACAUACUGUGCAGUGUUUUAUCCAAACGUAACCGUCUUUCUAAAGAGAAAUAAAGAAGCAUUUACUCAUAAGGUUUACAUGCAUGUGUACUCAUAAGGGAUGCAGUAUUAAAAAGAUUUGUAUCUUAUUAAACUUGUAAAAAAUAUAUUUAUUGUUAUUAUGUCAGGAUCAUAGACUGUCUGUAUCAUGUUUUGUUUCCGUAGUGUUUCCUGUUGUGUCUAUUGAUCCCUUUCUUCACCCCUAAUUCCUUCUCCUCCUGCUGGAGCAGGGUGAGCGCUCUCUUGAGGACCAUACAAGACUGUUCCGGCUGUUAGCUAGCACUACCAGCUACCCGGACGCCGUCGUCCAAGGAUGGUCCUUGAGAGGAUUUCGUUGCCUUCGUGGAGUGGACUCUGGUGAGAAAUAGAUCGCCAUCCUGCCCCAUGGAUGAUCUCGUCAGAUCCACUCCAGACCCAGUGCCCAGCCCACCAUCUCCCCGCGGUGCGGAGCAUCAGCCCAAGCCCACAACUGACGGUGAGCCAGAGCCUGCCGCGACCGACAAGCCAUUGCCAGAGAGAGCAACAGAGCUGAGGAUCGCUGUGGAGCCGGAGGCCGUGAUGUCAGUCGAGGUGCGAGAGCCGGCUACAGAGACCACUACGAGGGAGAGAGCCACGGACAUUGUGAGCACAGAGUAGAGCUCCGCCCCCCUGCACCACAGCUGAGGGUGAGCUGAGUUCGGUGCGGUGAAAGUGCCAAACUGAAGAGGAGAGGGCUCCAGUCCCCGAAUCCAGUCCAGAGCGCCCUCCAGUGCCCAUUCCUAGAAAGUGCCCUCCAGUCCCCGCUUCUCGAACGCGCCCUCAAGUGUCCGCUCCAGAGCACCAUCCUGUUUCCGUGUUCAGCAUAGAAGGGGCUCCCGAUCCAGAGUUUAACACUGAAUGCCCACAGGCUCAGAAAUGCCCGUCCUCCCACCCGCUCCUGCCUCCUCCUCCGCUGUCAUCUGGCAGCCCCUCUGCUCGCCUUCAGCCCACCAUCUAUGCGGUGUGAUCUUCACUUUGCGUAUGUGAUCCUCCAGUGUCGCAAUGGCUGGAGAAUCUCUCCCUUCCGCCUUCAGCCUCCACUGUCACCCGUCGAUCCACCAGCUCCACCGGGCUCCCUCGUCCCUCUGGGUCCACCUUGGUCGGGCGUCGACCAUCCUGCACCUCGGGACUUCACUCCCCCAGCUGCGCCUCGUCCCUCUAGCUCCGUCAGUCUCCUUCAUCUCUUCAGCUCCUCCUCAGUCCUCAGUCGCACCGGCUCCGCCUCGGAUCUCCAUCUUGGCCGCCAGAGCCCUCGGCUCCACCUUGGCCCCUGGAUCCUCAGCAUCUGCCUAGCUCUUCGGCUCUCCACCUCAGUCUCCUCCGCCACCUGCUCCGCUGCCAUUGGUCAGCCCCCUGGAGUUGGCGGCCAUUCCUCCUCCAUGGCUCCUUCCUCCGUCAGCUCCACCGUUGGUUGCUAUUAUGGCUGUGGCCUGGGUCUAGCUGGGCUCCUCCUGCUCCAAGCCUUUCCUGUCUCCUCCCUGGCUCCUCCAUCCAUCCGCUCCUCCCUGGACUUUGUCUGUUGGCCCCUUUCUGGAUAUCCGGCCUCCUCCCAAGUUCCCACCCAUCCCUCCCUCUGUUGCUUCUAUGGUGCGAGGACGCACCUUCCAGGAGGGGUUCCACAGGUAUGUCAGGAUCAUAGACUGUCUGUGUCAUGUUUUGCCCCUUUUUCUGUUCCCUUAUUUGGUCAUGUUCCUGUCCUCGAUUUGUUAAUUAGUUUGAUUAUGUUCCAUUGAUGUCACCUGUGUUCCCCUGAUUGCCCUGUGUUUAUAAGUCCUAAUCUGUUCAGUUUGUCUCUGUCAGAUCUACCAGUGAUGUACGUGUGUCAACCUCCUGUUCCCUGUGUUGGAUUUACUCUCUGUGUUGGAAACUAUUAAAGUCUCUUUCGAUUAUCCACGGCUCCAUGUUCCUUCC